rnacentral:rRNA from 1 species
AAGUCGUAACAAGGUUUCACCACGGAGACCGUGCAUCCCCCGGGAGGUAGCGCGACUGAAAAUAACGCUCGCCGUAUGCAAGUCAGCUUGCUGGCAACACAAUCGAAUUGCGGGGACCUCCUAAAGCUUAGCCUACUCCCUGUCCCUGAAAGGGGCCAGUAUAGUAAUAAUGGCUGAGAUGCUACAAUGGACGAUCCGCAGCGAAGACCCUAAAGUGCAAGCUACGGGUAUCGUUCACAGACUAAGUGAUUGUGGGUAGUCUUCUACUUAAGAUAUAGUCGAGCCCUAACCGAGAGGAUAGGGGUUAAGCUGUCCGUAGGUGAACCUGCGGAAGGAUCAUUACUAGAGGAAAGGAGAGACCCCUACUCGGAAUUUCCGAUAGGGUCCUACAGGGCUCUCCCCGUAGGAAUCGUCGCGGUCUCGUACCCUCCUGAACUCCACCCUUGAAUAAAUUACCUUUGUUGCUUUGGCGGGCCGCCUCGUGCCAGCGGCUUCGGCUGUUGAGUGCCCGCCAGAGGACCACAACUCUUGUUUUUAGUGAUGUCUGAGUACUAUAUAAUAGUUAAAACUUUCAACAACGGAUCUCUUGGUUCUGGCAUCGAUGAAGAACGCAGCGAAAUGCGAUAAGUAAUGUGAAUUGCAGAAUUCAGUGAAUCAUCGAAUCUUUGAACGCACAUUGCGCCCUCUGGUAUUCCGGGGGGCAUGCCUGUUCGAGCGUCAUUAUACCNCNUCAAGCUNCUCGCUUGGUAUUGGGGUUCGCGGUUCCCGCGGCCCCUAAAAUCAGUGGCGGUGCCUGUCGGCUCUACGCGUAGUAAUACNCUCGCGAUUGAGUCCGGCAGGUCUACUUGCCAGCAACCCCCAAUUUUUACAGGUUGACCUCGGAUCAGGUAGGGAUACCCGCUGAACUUAAGCAUAUCAAUAAGCGGAGGAAAAGAAACCAACAGGGAUUACCUCAGUAACGGCGAGUGAAGCGGUAACAGCUCAAAUUUGAAAGCUAGCUCUUUUAGGGUUCGCAUUGUAAUUUGUAGAAGAUGCUUCGGGUGUGGCCCCGGUCUAAGUUCCUUGGAACAGGACGUCAUAGAGGGUGAGAAUCCCGUAUGUGACUGGGUGCUUUCGCUCAUGUGAAGCUCUUUCGACGAGUCGAGUUGUUUGGGAAUGCAGCUCAAAAUGGGUGGUAAAUUUCAUCUAAAGCUAAAUAUUGGCCAGAGACCGAUAGCGCACAAGUAGAGUGAUCGAAAGAUGAAAAGCACUUUGGAAAGAGAGUUAAACAGUACGUGAAAUUGUUGAAAGGGAAGCGCUUGCAACCAGACUUGCGCGCUGAUGAUCAUCCGGGCUUCUGCCCGGUGUACUCGUCUGCGCUCAGGCCAGCAUCGGUUUCGGUGGUGGGAUAAAGGCCUUGGGAAUGUGGCUCCUCUCGGGGAGUGUUAUAGCCCUCGGUGCAAUGCCGCCUACCGGGACCGAGGACCGCGCUUCGGCUAGGAUGCUGGCGUAAUGGUUGUAAGCGACC